AGUUUUGAUCAAUAUUCUUUUUGGGUUACAGCAAAUAAAUCCAAUCAUAAAAGCGUCCAAUUGAGUGAAGUGAAAAAGAGCCUCAAGUGCCACAAUGAAUCUCUAAAUAAAUUCAAUCAAGAAAGCAUCCAACUGAGAGAAGGGAAAAAGAGCCUCAAGUACCAAAAUGGUCUUAGGAGCCUCAUGGUAUCUAUUGUCAAUUGAGCGUCAGGUGACGUACUGCAAGUAUGCUUAUAGACAUGAAAGUGCAGUCUCUCUUAUUUGGAUUGUGGUACUUUGAACAAAGAUGAAAGCAAACUAUGAGGAAACAAUACUCAGUUCCAUCGGCCAGGGUUUGGAAACUGCAUUUGCUACACUUAUUGCCAUCUCGGGUCUGGUUCUUUUUGCCCAUUUAAUUAGAAAUAUGCAGUUGUCGUUUAUCUAGACUUGCAAAGAGUUCUUCUAGCAUUCCAAUAAUCUCAGUGAGCAAUCCGGAGAAAGGAGCCUUGUGGUUAUGUUCUUAUGAUGAGUGAGUUUCUUUACUACCGUAUGUGUUUCUGUACAAUAAUUUAUGCUAAGCUAAGUUGUAUGUAUUUGUAGUGUUCAACACUUUGAAUGUUUGAGGAAGUAUUAUUUUACAUUGAAAUAUGAUUUUUUUUUUCUUAAUCCUGACUGAUUUGGAACUAUGGAAGGCUGAGCUCUUUAUGCUACUGCCUACUAAUCUUAUGUCUUCCAUUGUCGCGAAACUGU